AUUGAACGCUGGCGGUAUGCUUAAGACAUGCAAGUCGAACGGAAACGAUAGGAGCUUGCUCCUAGGCGUCGAGUGGCGGACGGGUGAGUAACGCGUGGGAAUCUGCCCAGUAGCGGGGGAUAAGCCAGAGAAAUUUGGUCUAAUACCGCAUACGCCCUACGGGGGAAAGGCUUCGGCCACUAUUGGAUGAGCCCGCGUUAGAUUAGCUAGUUGGUAAGGUAACGGCUUACCAAGGCGACGAUCUAUAGCUGGUCUGAGAGGAUGACCAGCCACAUUGGGACUGAGACACGGCCCAGACUCCUACGGGGAGGCAGCAGUCGGGGAAUAUUGGACAAUGGGGGAAACCCUGAUCCAGCAAUACCGCGUGUGUGAAGAAGGCCUGCGGGUUGUAAAGCACUUUCAGAGGGGAGGAUAAUGACGUUACCCUCAGAAGAAGCACCGGCUAACUCCGUGCCAGCCGCCGCGGUAAU
rnacentral:rRNA from 1 species